rnacentral:rRNA from 1 species
UCAGUUCGGAUUGGAGUCUGCAACUCGACUCCAUGAAGCUGGAUUCGCUAGUAAUCGCGCAUCAGCCAUGGCGCGGUGAAUACGUUCCCGGGCCUUGUACACACCGCCCGUCAAGCCAUGGGAGUCGGGAGUGCCUGAAGUUCGUGACCGUAUAGGAGCGACCUAGGGCAAGACUGAUGACUGGGGCUAAGUCGUAACAAGGUAAC